rnacentral:rRNA from 1 species
GACGAACCGUGCGAACGUUGUUCGGAUUCACUGGGCUUAAAGGGCGCGUAGGCGGGUUACCAAGUCAGGGGUGAAAUCUUUCGGCUCAACCGGAAAAGUGCCCCUGAUACUGGUAGUCUGGAGGGAGGUAGGGGCAUGUGGAACUUCCGGUGGAGCGGUGAAAUGCGUAGAUAUCGGAAGGAACGCCGGUGGCGAAAGCGACGUGCUGGACCUCUUCUGACGCUGAGGCGCGAAAGCUAGGGGAGCAAACGGG